UACGGAGGGUGCAAGCGUUAUCCGGAUUCACUGGGUUUAAAGGGUGCGUAGGCGGGUUGGUAAGUCAGUGGUGAAAUCCCCGAGCUUAACUUGGGAACUGCCAUUGAUACUAUCAGUCUUGAAUACCGUGGAGGUCGACGGAAUAUGUCAUGUAGCGGUGAAAUGCUUAGAUAAUGACAUAGAACACCGAUAGCGAAGGCAGCUUGCUACACA
rnacentral:rRNA from 1 species